rnacentral:misc_RNA from 1 species
UAGCAUUCCUUUGUACCAUCCCCACCCGCAAGCAGCAAAAGGGCAAGCAUUUGCAGCAAACCCAAAGCCAUUAUACAGGAGAGACGGUCAUUCUUAUAUAGGGACAGCGAGAUCAUAGAGGAAACUCAAUCCCUCCACUCGCAAAGCAUUCUGCAUCCGAGAGCACAAGCAACUUCCCAUGUGCCAAAGUAGCCAAAAAAAAGGCAUACCAGGUACACGACAGCUGCUAUAUGGUUCAUCCAAUCUCGCCUUUAACGGGGAAAAGAUGAAUAGGUUUAAGCAACAAAUUAGAUUCCGCUAUGUGGGUAUGCAACACAGAAACCCAUCCUUGCCCAACAUAGCAACAUGCCUUCAGGACAUCACUGAGUGGCCUCAAGGUAGACAGUUCGAUGCACAAGCAUGGAGCCUGCCAACCCUAACAGCC